rnacentral:ncRNA from 1 species
UUUUUUUUAUGUUUUUAUUAGUAUAGUUUGAUUCUAGCUAAGUUAUUAAUUUUACAGAAUAUAUACAUGUGAAUUUUUGUUAAUCUUUGCUUUGCAGUAUUUAAUAUUAAAUAUGAAGUUUAUUUUGAUUUGGAUAUUUGUUUUUUUUUUGUAAAAGUUUGUGCCAGCAUACGCGGUUAUACAAUAAAUGUUAAUUAAUAUUUUUGGUGUAGUUUAGUUAAAUUUAUUAUUUGGAUUUAUUUUUUAUGUUUUUAGGUGAAAUUUUAAAUGUUAAUUAAUUCUAAUUUGAUUCUAGAAAAUUUAUAAUAUAAACUAGGAUUAGAUACCCUAUUAUUUUAAAUAUAAAUUAUUGCCUAGGUAAUAAUAGUUUUGUUCUUUAAACCUAAAGAAUUUGGCGGUGUUUUAGUCUAUUCAGAGGAAUUUGCCCCAUUAUCGAUAAUCCCCGUUUUAUCUUGCUUAAUUUAAUUAGUAUGUAUAUCGCCGUUAUAAGCUUAUUUUUUAAGGAUUUAUUUGCUAGAAAGUUUAUUUUCUUUUAUUUCAGGUCAAGGUGCAGCUUAUAGUUAAGGGGAGGUGAAUUACAAUAUUAUCUUAAUAUAUGAAUGUAGUUUUUAAUAUAUUAUUGAAGGUGGAUUUGUUAGUAAUUUUUAUUAUAAUGUAAUUAUGAUUUUGGCUCUAAAAUGAGUACAUAUCGCCCGUCACUCUCAAUUUUACUUGAGAUAAGUCGUAACAUAGUAGAUGUACUGGAAAGUGUAUCUAAGUUGUA